GCCGCGCGCAGCCGGGCCGCCCGCCGGCGCCGAGCAGGAGGCAGGGCAGCGGGCCCAGCUCCUUCCCCAGCACGCCGCUCGCCUCGUAGCUCUGCGGGGAGAGAAGCGCGGAGAGUGAGACCGUCCCGGACGCAGGGUCCUUCCCGCACCGGUGGGACCUCACACACCGCGCAUCGGCGACCUCGGCCUCAGAGCAGCCCUUGCCGUACGCGAUGACCACGUCCAGCAGCCGUUCGAGGUGCCGCUCGGCUCGGGCAACGGGGGCCGUGCAGGUACCGCUCCGGGCUGCAGAAGUGGCUAAGCCCUGCCCCGCUGCCCAGAGAAGGGACUGCAAAACAGUACCCCCACGUACCUCGGCAGCUCUGGCAACAAGAAGAAGAGUUUAAAAAAAUACCAGCAGACACUCGAAGUGGUGCUUCUUUCUCUACAGAGAAGCGCUGCUUUUUAAAAUGCAGCCAGUUCCGAGAUGGAAAUGCUAAUGGGAAAAAAAGGAAAAAUACAUCCCUGCGUUUCAGAUAGGAAAAAAAAAAAAAAAAAACCACACACAAAAAACCCAAAGCUCUGUUUCUAAGUACCAGCAUUAUAACAGCUGAAACAUGAAGAAGAGGUUGUUUGAAUCUA